UUUGGUUAAGUUAGAAAGGGCGCACGGUGGAUGCCUUGACACUAGGAGUCGAUGAAGGACGGGACUAACGCCGAUAUGCUUCGGGGAGCUGUAAGUAAGCUUUGAUCCGAAGAUUUCCGAAUGGGGAAACCCACCAUACGUAAUGGUAUGGUAUCCUUAUCUGAAUACAUAGGGUAAGGAAGACAGACCCAGGGAACUGAAACAUCUAAGUACCUGGAGGAAGAGAAAGCAAAUGCGAUUUCCUGAGUAGCGGCGAGCGAAACGGAACAUAGCCCAAACCAAGAGGCUUGCCUCUUGGGGUUGUAGGACAUUCUAUACGGAGUUACAAAGGAACGAGGUAGACGAAGCGACCUGGAAAGGUCCGUCGUAGAGGGUAACAACCCCGUAGUCGAAACUUCGUUCUCUCUUGAAUGUAUCCUGAGUACGGCGGAACACGUGAAAUUCCGUCGGAAUCUGGAAGGACCAUCUCCCAAGGCUAAAUACUCCCUAGUGAUCGAUAGUGAACCAGUACCGUGAGGGAAAGGUGAAAAGCACCCCGGAAGGGGAGUGAAAGAGAUCCUGAAACCGUGUGCCUACAAAUAGUCAGAGCCCGUUAACGGGUGAUGGCGUGCCUUUUGUAGAAUGAACCGGCGAGUUACGAUCCCGUGCGAGGUUAAGCUGAAGAGGCGGAGCCGCAGCGAAAGCGAGUCUGAAUAGGGCGUUUAGUACGUGGUCGUAGACCCGAAACCAGGUGAUCUACCCAUGUCCAGGGUGAAGUUCAGGUAACACUGAAUGGAGGCCCGAACCCACGCACGUUGAAAAGUGCGGGGAUGAGGUGUGGGUAGCGGAGAAAUUCCAAUCGAACCUGGAGAUAGCUGGUUCUCCCCGAAAUAGCUUUAGGGCUAGCCUUAAGUGUAAGAGUCUUGGAGGUAGAGCACUGAUUGGACUAGGGGUCCUCAUCGGAUUACCGAAUUCAGUCAAACUCCGAAUGCCAAUGACUUAUCCUUAGGAGUCAGACUGCGAGUGAUAAGAUCCGUAGUCAAAAGGGAAACAGCCCAGACCGCCAGCUAAGGUCCCAAAGUGUGUAUUAAGUGGAAAAGGAUGUGGAGUUGCUUAGACAACUAGGAUGUUGGCUUAGAAGCAGCCACCAUUUAAAGAGUGCGUAAUAGCUCACUAGUCGAGUGACUCUGCGCCGAAAAUGUACCGGGGCUAAAUACACCACCGAAGCUGCGGAUUGAUACCAAUGGUAUCAGUGGUAGGGGAGCGUUCUAAGGACAGUGAAGUCAGACCGGAAGGACUGGUGGAGUGCUUAGAAGUGAGAAUGCCGGUAUGAGUAGCGAAAGACGGGUGAGAAUCCCGUCCACCGAAUGCCUAAGGUUUCCUGAGGAAGGCUCGUCCGCUCAGGGUUAGUCAGGACCUAAGCCGAGGCCGACAGGCGUAGGCGAUGGACAACAGGUUGAUAUUCCUGUACCACCUCUUUAUCGUUUGAGCAAUGGAGGGACGCAGAAGGAUAGAAGAAGCGUGCGAUUGGUUGUGCACGUCCAAGCAGUUAGGCUGAUAAGUAGGCAAAUCCGCUUAUCGUGAAGGCUGAGCUGUGAUGGGGAAGCUCCUUAUGGAGCGAAGUCUUUGAUUCCCCGCUGCCAAGAAAAGCUUCUAGCGAGAUAAAAGGUGCCUGUACCGCAAACCGACACAGGUAGGCGAGGAGAGAAUCCUAAGGUGUGCGAGAGAACUCUGGUUAAGGAACUCGGCAAAAUGACCCCGUAACUUCGGGAGAAGGGGUGCUUUCUUAACGGAAAGCCGCAGUGAAUAGGCCCAAGCGACUGUUUAGCAAAAACACAGCUCUCUGCGAAGCCGUAAGGCGAAGUAUAGGGGGUGACACCUGCCCGGUGCUGGAAGGUUAAGGAGAGGGGUUAGCGUAAGCGAAGCUCUGAACUGAAGCCCCAGUAAACGGCGGCCGUAACUAUAACGGUCCUAAGGUAGCGAAAUUCCUUGUCGGGUAAGUUCCGACCCGCACGAAAGGUGUAACGAUUUGGGCACUGUCUCAACCAGAGACUCGGUGAAAUUAUAGUACCUGUGAAGAUGCAGGGUACCCGCGACAGGACGGAAAGACCCCGUGGAGCUUUACUGUAGCCUGAUAUUGAAUUUUGGUACAGUUUGUACAGGAUAGGCGGGAGCCUUUGAAACCGGAGCGCUAGCUUCGGUGGAGGCGCUGGUGGGAUACCGCCCUGACUGUAUUGAAAUUCUAACCUACGGGUCUUAUCGACCCGGGAGACAGUGUCAGGUGGGCAGUUUGACUGGGGCGGUCGCCUCCUAAAGUGUAACGGAGGCGCCCAAAGGUUCCCUCAGAAUGGUUGGAAAUCAUUCGUAGAGUGCAAAGGCAUAAGGGAGCUUGACUGCGAGACCUACAAGUCGAGCAGGGACGAAAGUCGGGCUUAGUGAUCCGGUGGUUCCGCAUGGAAGGGCCAUCGCUCAACGGAUAAAAGCUACCCCGGGGAUAACAGGCUUAUCUCCCCCAAGAGUCCACAUCGACGGGGAGGUUUGGCACCUCGAUGUCGGCUCAUCGCAUCCUGGGGCUGUAGUCGGUCCCAAGGGUUGGGCUGUUCGCCCAUUAAAGCGGUACGCGAGCUGGGUUCAGAACGUCGUGAGACAGUUCGGUCCCUAUCCGUCGUGGGCGUAGGAAAUUUGAGAGGAGCUGUCCUUAGUACGAGAGGACCGGGAUGGACGCACCGCUGGUGUACCAGUUGUUCUGCCAAGGGCAUAGCUGGGUAGCUAUGUGCGGAAGGGAUAAGUGCUGAAAGCAUCUAAGCAUGAAGCCCCCCUCAAGAUGAGAUUUCCCAUAGCGUAAGCUAGUAAGAUCCCUGAAAGAUGAUCAGGUUGAUAGGUUCGAGGUGGAAGCAUGGUGACAUGUGGAGCUGACGAAUACUAAUAGAUCGAGGACUUAACCAUAUAA
rnacentral:rRNA from 6 species